UAGGGAAUCUUCCGCAAUGGACGCAAGUCUGACGGAGCAACGCCGCGUGAGUGAAGAAGGAUUUCGGUUCGUAAAACUCUGUUGUUAGAGAAGAACAGCGCAUAGAGUAACUGUUAUGCGUGUGACGGUAUCUAACCAGAAAGCCACGGCUAACUACGUGCCAGCAGCCGCGGUAAUACGUAGGUGGCAAGCGUUGUCCGGAUUUAUUGGGCGUAAAGCGAGCGCAGGCGGUAAAUUAAGUCUGAUGUGAAAGCCCCCGGCUCAACCGGGGAGGGUCAUUGGAAACUGGUUGACUUGAGUGCAGAAGAGGAGGGUGGAAUUCCAUGUGUAGCGGUGAAAUGCGUAGAUAUAUGGAGGAACACCAGUGGCGAAGGCGACUCUCUGGUCUGUAACUGACGCUGAGGUUCGAAAGCGUGGGUAGCAAACAGG
rnacentral:rRNA from 1 species